GCAAAAGACCCUACAGAGUAAUGAGUACAUUUUAAUAAGAAAACUUUCAAGUACUAAUGUUAGUGUUAUUGGCAACAAAGUGAAAAUUUGCUUAGUGGCAUAUGUCAUUAAAAAGCACAGUUACUGUGCAAGGAAGUAAUAUAAUGAAGAUGAAGCUUUUUCUAAAAUGCAUAGACAACUUAAGUGUACUUUAAUGGUUAUUCUCUUUGGUCAGCUGUCCUGAAAAUUUGUAAAUAAGACACAGAAAGCUUUAGUUUUUUGUUUAGUUGAAGGAAAACCAUGGUUUCCUUAAGGUCUGAAUUCAGAGAUGUUGUUAGAUGUGCACCAGCUCAGGUCGGAGAGAUUUUACAUGCUGUACCAUAUGUGGAACAAUGACAGGCAUGCAAGAGAAAGUCAUUUGUGAUGGAUGCCAUUCACUUGGCUUUGGCAAGGACCUAAAUGCAUACAGCAGCAAUUACAGAGAAAUCACCAUCUCAUGUCAACAAUAAAGCCAAUGAUCAAUUAAAACUUGCU
rnacentral:lncRNA from 1 species